UUAAAAUAUAAAAAUAAUUGGAAAUUCAUAAAAAAAAAAAAACUGUAAAAUUAAAAACUGCCAAUCCACAAAAACCGAAAUUAAAAAUAAAAAAAUAAAUAAAAAAAUUGUAGUUGCAAAUUACGGUUUUGGAGAUGGUUAUAACUUGAUACACAGAACUCCCAACACCAAGAAAUUGACGAUGGAAAAUUUUCAAAAACAGAAAAGAAGAAGAAGAAGAAGAAUCGUUCUGUGACAAUGGAAACCAUCGCAGGUAGAUUAUUGUGGAGAGGCAACAUCGGCUUAGUUGUGUAGAUAAGGAAACCUAAACUCUGAAGAUUAUUGGUCUCCUUUCAGUGAUGCUGAAAUAAAUUCAAUUCAAGGGACUUUUCUAUGCAAGUGAAAAAAGGUCAUAAAACUAAGUAGUUGGACUUCUGGAUCCAAGUGAUGGUGAUUUCUUUGAAGCUAUGGCAAUGAUGUUCAUGCUGGUGACAAACAAAUUGAAAAAAAUGCUGGUGAAAUAUCAAUGUGUUGCAUUUCAACCAUUCAUAGGUGAGAUUUUGAUAGCAAUAGUUGCCAUAAUUAACAAGGUAAGGAAAUUUCAUUUGUCUGUAAGAUGAUUAUAAAAUAAUUUUAAUUUUUCACUACCUAUAGAUAUUUUAUUCCUGUGGAUUGAUGCAGAUGGGAUUCGUUGAAGUAGUGCGUGCUUGUUCAGAUUUUCUUUUCAAAUUCCUAUAUUCUAAAAUUACACUCGCCCCUUUUUCUGGAAUGACGUGGUCAGGAUUACAAUCUAAAAGUAUUAUCUAGUGUGUAUUGCCACAUAGAACACUUACUCUGCAAGAUUCACUAGCGGAAUUACAGUCUCAAAAGCUAUUUUAGGUAUUAUACUUCUGUCUGUGGGUACAUUUAAGUUUUCUCAUGUGCUUGCAUUGUUGAUAUAUCAACAAGGUAUACUAUGAUCAUACGUAGUGGAGAAGAUUGCCUGCUAUAUCACUAUCAAAAAAAUAUGAAUAUUCAAAGAUGAAUUAUUGAGAUGGAACUCAAUGCUACUGGCUGAUUUAAUUGUUCCUAUUCACAAAUACAUUGAUCUUGAAAUUAAAUUAGAAUUUCAGUUGUAAUUAGAUAUGUGGACUACUUUAAAAUGCCACAUAUUAAGUAGGCGUUUGGCCAUAAGAAUUAUUCACUUUAUUCCGAAUUUUUUUUUUUCACUUUUCAGCGUUUGGCCAUAAGAAUUCCGAAUACAACUUGAAGUUGUAUUCCGGAAUUUCAAGAACUCAAAAAACUUGUUUUUCAAAAAAAAUCACUUUUUUCACUUUUUUACAACUACAUUUCACCAAAAACUAUGGCCAAACACAGCUCCAACUCCAACUCCAACUCCAAAAUUCCAAAAAAAGUGAAUUUUUUUUUUUGGUUUCUAUGGACAAACGGAGCCUAAGUUUAGAAGGACUGCAAUCUUAUGGACUCUGUGACCUUAUGUCUAACCUGUUGUGCAUUAGUAUAUAUUUCUAGAUAAAUGAGGCAAAAUAUUACUAUGAUGAUCGAUAAGAUACAAAUUUAAAAAAAGAGAUCAAUUUUUUCUCUUCUAACUUCUAAGUGCAUUUAUUUUUGUUACUUACACAUGAAAUUAUGUUAUGUGCAAGUGCAACAGUAAUGAUGAAUUCCUUAGGAAUACGACUUCUUUUUUUUUUUUUUUUUAUGACAUGGGAAUCCGCAGCCACUACCCUUCGGGUGCACAUAGGGUAAACCCAGCUCCUGUGCAAUAGCUCGCAAACCACACAUGAGAGAUAACCCGCACUAGGCAACCCUCGUGCGAUGAGCUCGACCCAGAAGGCAAAUCUCCUAUUGUUGUAGGCAGGGGUUGCGAACCUGAAACCUCCAUUAUGAAAGCCCCAUGCUCAACCAACUGAGCCACCCUUGCGGGUAAUACGAUUUCUUUUUCUUUAUCGAUAAAAGAUAAAUUCUUUAGGACCUGAUCAGACGACAAUAUUUAAGUAUAAUCGCAAGAUGAUGAAUGAUGUCAGUUCAGUUGUUGCACCUGUUGAUAGCACUAUUACUGCAACACCUUUGCUGGGAAGGAGAAAGAAAAAAACAUGUGAGGAAGAUCGAGCCAAAUGAGGAUUGUAUGGCUGAAAGUGAGAUGAUGUCUUCUUUACAAACUCCAUCAAGAAAAGCAUAUCAGAAAGUGGAUCGUUCGUGCUAGAAGAUGGUGAUGAUUGGAAUGCAAAACUAUCUACCAAGAGAAGCAAAUCCGUAGGCAGAUCUUCAAUGCAAGAACAUGAUGAUGAGCUGAAUGCGAAACUAUCCAGCAAUAGGGUUCAGAAAGUGAUUAAGAAGGAAAAAAACACGAGUUCUUCACUUAUAGGAGACUGUAGUAACUAAAUGCACACUUUUAUUUCAGUCAGGUGUUUUUCUUUGUUAAACAUUUAUUUUACAAUGUCUAUAAGCUAUUUUGGAUAUGAACAAGGUUUAUAUUGU